rnacentral:rRNA from 1 species
CCUCUAUCCGCCAGAGAACUACAAGCAAAAACUCGAAACUCAAAGGACUUGACGGUGUCCCAAACCAACCUAGAGGAGCCUAGUCCUAUAAUCGAUAACCCACGUUCCACCUCACCCCCUCUUAGAAACCAGCCUAGUAUACCGCCGUCUUUCAGUCCGCCUUAUGACAGAACCUAAGCGAACACAACAGCCCAUCACUAUAACGUCAGAGUCAAGAGUGCAGCCAAUAGGGGGGGCAGCGAUGGGCUACAUUUUCUACCACACAGAACAACACCAACCACCACAUGAAACAUAGGACCACAAGGCGGAUUUAGCAGUAAGCCAUACAAGAAUGUCUGACUGAAGCCUGCUCUGGGACGCGC